rnacentral:rRNA from 1 species
UACGUAGGGGGCAAGCGUUGUCCGGAAUCACUGGGCGUAAAGGGCGCGUAGGCGGCGGUUCAAGUCGGGGGUGAAAGCCUGUGGCUCAACCACAGAAUGGCCUUCGAUACUGGACGGCUCGAGACCGGAAGAGGUCAGUGGAACUGCGAGUGUAGAGGUGAAAUUCGUAGAUAUUCGCAAGAACACCAGUGGCGAAGGCGGCUGACUGGUCCGGUUCUGACGCUGAGGCGCGAAAGCGUGGGGAGCAAACAGG